rnacentral:ncRNA from 2 species
UUCUUAUCCAGAGAGACGGAGGGAUUGGCCCUACGAUGUCUCGGCAACCAGCCUGUUUCAGGUAUGGUGCUAAUUCCAAUAGGCGAGCAGCCUUGAAGAUAAGGA